GGAGGGCUGAGUCAGGCCUCCCUACCCAGGCCCAAGGGCAGAUGCACCUGAGCCAUUGUGUCCCAUGGUUGAUACGGGACGGGGCUGAUUUCCUGACCUGGACCCCUGAGACCCAGUGCUCUUAGCUGUGAGCCUCUGGGAAGAGGUUCUGGCAGGUGGAGGGGAUGGACGUUACAGUGCUGUGGCCACCUAGAAAAGCCGUCCCGGAACUGAGACCAACUGCUGAGGGAGGAAGGGCCACCAGAUCGGGGGCCGGGCCGGGGUGAGCACCUGAAGCCGGCUCCACCUGCUCUUCUCAGCUGUGCGCCUCCAGGAAUUUGCACUCGCUUCAGCUGAUUUGGGUUGGAUUUCUAGCGUUUCACAUACAGGAUCUAGACUCGCACACAACUGCAUUAAUAUGUUGGUGUUUGAUAAACUAGGGUUGAAGGAGUUCCAUCAGUGAAGAGAGAAGCCACGUGACCUGAGGAUGCAGGGCACUGUUCACGUGGACAUGAGCCGUUUCUUAGCAUCAUGAGAUUUUAGAAACAUGUUCUUACUCUGCCAGGACCCAGGGAUAGGUGAGGCUCUCCUAUUGGGAUACCAUUUCACCAGCAGAGAGAUUAAUUGGAGAAUGUGUAAUUUUUUCCCCUUUGGAAAUAAUUUGUUCUUUUUUUUUUUUGACAGAGUUUCUUUCUGUCAUCCAGGCUGGAGUGCAGUGGUGUGAUCAUAGCUCACUGCAGCCUCGACC
rnacentral:lncRNA from 1 species